rnacentral:rRNA from 1 species
CAGUCGAACGCGUCUUGGUUAUUGAUGUUAAGUGCUUGCAUUUAACUGAUUUAACAUUGAGACGAGUGGCGAACUGGUGAGUAACACGUGGGUAACCUGCCCUUGAAGUAGGGGAUAACACUUGGAAACAGGUGCUAAUACCGUAUAACAACCAAAACCACCUGGUUUUGGUUUAAAAGAUGGCUUCGGCUAUCACUUUAGGAUGGACCCGCGGCGUAUUAGCUUGUUGGUAAGGUAACGGCCUACCAAGGCAAUGAUACGUAGCCGACCUGAGAGGGUAAUCGGCCACAUUGGGACUGAGACACGGCCCAAACUCCUACGGGAGGCAGCAGUAGGGAAUCUUCCACAAUGGACGAAAGUCUGAUGGAGCAACGCCGCGUGAGUGAUGAAGGGUUUCGGCUCGUAAAACUCUGUUGUUGGAGAAGAACAGGUGUGAGAGUAACUGUUCACAUCUUGACGGUAUCCAACCAGAAAGCCACGGCUAACUACGUGCCAGCAGCCGCGGUAAUACGUAGGUGGCAAGCGUUGUCCGGAUUUAUUGGGCGUAAAGCGAGCGCAGGCGGUUUCUUAGGUCUGAUGUGAAAGCCUUCGGCUUAACCGGAGAAGUGCAUCGGAAACCAGGAGACUUGAGUGCAGAAGAGGACAGUGGAACUCCAUGUGUAGCGGUGAAAUGCGUAGAUAUAUGGAAGAACACCAGUGGCGAAGGCGGCUGUCUGGUCUGUAACUGACGCUGAGGCUCGAAAGCAUGGAUAGCGAACAGGAUUAGAUACCCUGGUAGUCCAUGCCGU